rnacentral:tRNA from 5 species
UCGGGGCGUAGCGCAGUUUGGGAGCGCACUUGAAUGGGGUUCAAGUGGUCGCUGGUUCAAAUCCAGUCGCCCCGAU